CCUACGGGAGGCUGCAGUGAGGAAUAUUGGUCAAUGGACGAGAGUCUGAACCAGCCAAGUAGCGUGAAGGAUGACUGCCCUAUGGGUUGUAAACUUCUUUUAUAUGGGAAUAAAAUGUUCCACGUGUGGGAUUUUGUAUGUACCAUAUGAAUAAGGAUCGGCUAACUCCGUGCCAGCAGCCGCGGUAAUACGGAGGAUCCGAGCGUUAUCCGGAUUUAUUGGGUUUAAAGGGAGCGUAGGUGGAUUGUUAAGUCAGUUGUGAAAGUUUGCGGCUCAACCGUAAAAUUGCAGUUGAAACUGGCAGUCUUGAGUACAGUAGAGGUGGGCGGAAUGCGUGGUGUAGCGGUGAAAUGCUUAGAGAUCACGAAGAACUCCGAUUGCGAAGGCAGUUCACUGGACUGCAACUGACACUGAGGCUCGAAAGUGUGGGUAUCAAACAGGAUUAGAUACCCCUGUAGUC
rnacentral:rRNA from 1 species